UAUUUGAAAUAUUCGAUUAUUUCUUUACUGUGCUACCUAUCAGCGCAACUAUCACCACUAAUAACAACAAAAAAUAGCAGAUUCAAAAUGACAUUUUAACGAUACAAAUAUAAUACAUUUUGUUAGCCCGUGAGGCCAUAAUUACACUGCUGGGUACAUGGGAGGAGAACAUCGUUGGUGUGAGGAAGAACUCCAACAAACUCUAAAAAAAAUGUCUGAAAAUCUAAAUAUGUACAUACAUAUAUGUACAUAUAAAAAAGCUCUACUCCAGGGACCGCAAAUAAGAAUUAAGAAUGUACAUUUUAACUAAAUAAAUCAAUGUGAAGGAAAUAUUUUACGGAAGGUUGGAACAUACCAAAAAUAAAAAAUCUGUUCAAUAAGAAUUAAAAAGAACAUUUGAUUUUUUCAAGAAAAAUAACAAAGUUAUUUUUUAUGUAUAUUUUAAAAACUAUGAAUAAGAGCUACACCAUGACUUUUAUUUUAAAAACUAAAUAUAAAAGAUAAGUUUAAUAUCCUGUGAACCAAGUGGUGUACUAUCACCAUACAAAAUAUUCUUGAUCUAUGAUUCAAUACCUUUCAUUUGAUACAUUGCAUGUCCUUCAAGGAUGAAUAAUAAGGAUACAACUAUUUUCUUUUAUAUUCCAUUUUUUUUUCUACCUUCUGUUUCAGUAAUAUGUGCACAUAUGUACCUAUGUAGUAUUUAUUGGCAAAAAAUGUGUCAAUAUACAUAUACUAAAAAUACCAACAAAAAAUAUACAAAAUUAAAAAAAAUAUUUUUUGUUAUAUACAAAAAGAUAAGUUGUGUUUUGUAAGUGUAGUUUUACAUUUAUUAUAAUUUGUUAAGUUUAAAACCCCUAAUUUGUUUAAUUAAAUUUGCUUCCGAGAUUCCGAGUGUUGAAGGUAGCUUCUCCGACGAAAUGAUGCGGCAUGGUACAUAGUUGAGUUUGCCUUGCUUCACUGCUUAACGCGCGCACCAUACGAAAUUAUGUCAUUCUGCUCAGAAAUGUGUAUAAAAGAAAAGUAGAUUUGAUGCUACAGUUUUAUUGUCUGUUGCAUAGUGUUUUUUAUUUUAUUUUAGUUGAAACCUACGAUAACAAAAAAUUAACAUUAUGUUACAGACUUAAUUUAAAAGGACAUAGUUCAACUUAAUUUGGAUACAGUAUAUCAUAGUGACCAGGUCUAUAUAUUAGGUAAAUCGUAGGCUCCGUUCCUUCAGGGAAAUCAUGGGCUUUAACAAUACAACCUUCUCCUCUAUCCAGGUAUUCUACACGUACACCAGCGCCAAGAGCUGCACAUAGUGCAAUUAUAUGGAUAUGAUCGGAUUCUUUGAACAUAGGUUCAACUUCUUGAUGACGAAACUCUUCAAUUGUGAAAUCGCCCUCAAUAAAAUUUUGAUAAAACUCUGCCUCUUCCUGCAGUUUUCCAGAUGUUAUUAAACGUAAAUAAACAACCACGUAAUCUGAAUAACCCUGCUCAUUGAGUAUUUUGUGCAGUUCAUUUUGAACUUUAUUGUAACCUCCUGGAUUAUCUGGACUAACGCGUCUGAUAACUUCCAUAAACUGAAAACAUAAAAUUUCAUUUAUUGGAUUAUUUAGUUUAAAUUUAAAAAGUUAAACUUACAGUUUCAUGAAAGUCUUCUAAUGUAAAACUAGGAAAGCCGAGCUCAACAAGCUUAUCUUUAGAAUCUUCUGCCAACUUUUGGAACUCUUUAUAUGCACUGUUAUUUGAUAUUAAAUACUCCAUAUAUGAGUACGCAAAGGCUCGAAAGAAGCAAUUUCCAUCAGGGCGAGUACGUCUGAUAAACUUAUACUUUUUUGCUAAAUCUUGAAUUUUUGCAGUAAAAACGUCAUCGCCAUUAUACUCGGUCCAAAGACACGUUAAUGGUAAUAAUUCACCGACUAAGGGAGUCGAAUCACUUAUCUGUGGUUUAAUCAUAUUAGAUUAUAGAAAAUACAUAUAUUCUGCAAAUUUGUACCUACUUCCUUUUCAAUAUCCCGUUGUUGUUGUAUGAUUAACUCGUCACGGUUGCCGUCAUUUUGUUUAAAGGAUUCCAUUUUUCUAAAAUUAGUAUGAUCGGAUUUUAUUAAUGUACAUAUCAAAAGGUCAAAAGUUAAAUUUUAUAGAAAUUUUUGCGUUUCCAUUUAUAAGCCGAUUCAAAUAUUACACACACACAUUGGAAAAGAAACGUAUAGACAUAUUGAUCCUAGGGUUGUCACAGAUAGAUUAGAUCGAUUUAGCUCUGAAAACACAUAAGUCAAACUAACGAAGAAAAGAAAGCUUUCAUUAUGGAACGGUGAAAAACGAAACAUGGAUUAUGUAAAUAAAACAAGACAGCAGCGAACACAAGUACCCCCGGAGCACAACGACUUUUUCAGAUGGAGCUUCAAUGUUUUACUAAAUAAUAGUGUUAAAAAAAUUUUAAUUUUCAAUGUAGCUUCAGGGGCUAUUCCAUAUUUUAUCCACCAUCUAUUUCUGGGAUGGUCCGUACGGUUUUGCCGUUCCAAAAAUGUCCCAGUUAUUCGACCAUCCAUAUGGAGUGUUUUUAAGCCGCACGUUUCAGCCCUGAGCACAUCCCGCGGGAGCAGUGGGAUUUUUUGACAAAUUUUAAACCCCGGUUCACACUAGCACCAUCCACCAUCCGAAAAAAAGGAGCGAAUGAGCAUAAUAUUACAAAGUUUUGGUCUGAAUUGUUAAAUUUUUACAAUUUUAAAUUAGUAUUUUGGCUAUAUUAUAAACUAUAAUAAAACAAUCCAUAUAUGUACUCUUUUGGACUCCCUUAAAAAAUGCAGCAGCUCUGUUUGGAAGUUUGGCCUUGGCUGCUCGCAAAUUGGUGCAGUAUCUCUCACUUUGUAUCCUGGUACUCAUUCUGUAAUAUCUCCUGCUCCUUCUGGAGCAAGCAUUUUCCGAACAAUCUCUAGAAGAUUUUCCAGUUUAUUCCGCUUUGAUCCAGUUGGAUAUGUCCCGAACCCCCGCAUAUCCACAGUACUAUUAUGCCAAAUGUUUAUAGCAAGAUUUUCCAUCUAUGCAGUCCAAUUGCUUUUUAGGGUUGCAUUUGAAAACCAUCGACUUACUAUCGCAUAAAAACGUGUCGCUUAGGAAGAUCCCAGAUGGAUAUAGCUGGGAAAUUUUAGGAUCUGCAAAACGUUGUAGGCUUUGCACACUGAGCACAUCCUGGGGUAGCGGUGGGAUUUUUUGACAGAUGUGAAGCUUCGAUUCACACUGGCACCAGCCACCGUCCGUCAAAAACAGCUGAUGCCAUUAACAAAUUCAUAAUAUUUGCGCGGAAUAUGUAUUUUUUGUCUCAAAAUGGAGACAGCAAUUAUUUUGGCUGUGGUUAAACACCAAAAUAUAUUCUUGCACCAACUAAUAAUGUUGCUGCAAAUUAAUAAUGAUGAUGACUAUAACUUUGACGAGGAUGAGAUGCUUGACUAGGUAUCUGCCCUAAAAAAAAAACAAAAGCCAGGAAAGUUAAUUAGUCAGAAUAAUGUGUGGACCGUAAUGACAAUUAAAAAGUAAUAUUUUUUUUAUUUCUUACAGUACUAACAGAUUAUUUUAAAAUUUUAUUUGGACGAACUUUUCCUGCCUUUCAUCAUGUUCCUCCUUCUUCCUGUGUUGCUCCUUCUGCUCUUCUUGACAUUCUUUGCCGAUCUCUGUUGGUCAAGUAGUGAUAUUUUUUUGUGCGCUUUGACGGGGGCCAAUUGCUGUUGAAAAAGAUGCUGGAGCAGCAGGAUCCGUCCAGGUCGACCUCGAUGACGGAUAUCAAGGAUUCAGCAACAUCUGCAAUGAACACCUUUCAUUAAUAUUCUUAAUUAUAAUUAAGAAAUUAUAUUUUAUUUAACUUGCUGUGGUUAUCCAAUAUGUUCUGCUGCUUGAUGUGGAUACGGAAAGAUUCCAGGAACGAGUUUAGCUUGUACUGCUGCCAUCCAGAUGGAGCACCCCCGCUUGGUUCUUGUUUUAGGUCUUUUGAUGAACUGACCUA